AGCUGAGUUUGAUCCUGGCUCAGAUUGAACGCUGGCGGCAUGCUUUACACAUGCAAGUCGAACGGUAACAGGUUAAGCUGACGAGUGGCGAACGGGUGAGUAAUGCAUCGGAACGUGCCCGAUCGUGGGGGAUAACGCAGCGAAAGCUGCGCUAAUACCGCAUACGAUCUGAGGAUGAAAGCGGGGGACCGUAAGGCCUCGCGCGAUCGGGAGCGGCCGAUGUCAGAUUAGGUAGUUGGUGGGGUAAAGGCUCACCAAGCCAACGAUCUGUAGCUGGUCUGAGAGGACGACCAGCCAC
rnacentral:rRNA from 1 species